GUCUGGAUGGCACAGUGGAUAAAGCAACUGCCUAGUAAGCAGGAGGUCCUGGGUUCGAAUCCCAGUCUGGCACA